rnacentral:rRNA from 1 species
UCAGCUUUCGACGGUAAGGUAUUGGCUUACCGUGGCAGUGACGGUUAACGGGGAAUUAGGGUUCAAUUCCGGAGAGGGAGCCUGAGAAACGGCUACCACAUCUAAGGAAGGCAGCAGGCGCGCAAAUUACCCAAUUCUAACAGCAUAAGAGAGGUAGUGACAAGAAAUAACAGUACAAGGCAGUUAAAAUGCUUUGUAAUUGGAAUGAUAGAAAUUUAAAUACUUUUUAAAGUAUCAAUUGGAGGGCAAGUCUGGUGCCAGCAGCCGCGGUAAUUCCAGCUCCAAUAGCGUAUAUUAAAAUUGUUGCAGUUAAAAAGCUCGUAGUUGAAUUUUUGCUAAAAAUAACCGGUCUGCUAUUAUUACUAAAAGUGGUAUCUUGGUGUGUUUUUAGCAAUAAUGUCCUUUGAAAUGUUUUUUACUUUAAUGUAAAAAGCAAUUUUCAGGAUUUUUACUUUGAGAAAAUUAGAGUGUUUCAAGCAGGCUAACGUUUUGA